rnacentral:rRNA from 1 species
GACGAACGCUGGCGGCGUGCUUAACACAUGCAAGUCGAGCGAGCAGAUUCCCUUCGGGGAUGAAGCUAGCGGCGGACGGGUGAGUAACACGUGGGCAACCUGCCUUAUAGAGGGGGAUAGCCUUCCGAAAGGAAGAUUAAUACCGCAUAGCAUCAGAUUAUCGCAUGGUAGACUGAUCAAAGGAGCAAUCCGCUAUAAGAUGGGCCCGCGUCGCAUUAGCUAGUUGGUGAGGUAACGGCUCACCAAGGCGACGAUGCGUAGCCGACCUGAGGGGGUGGUCGGCCACAUUGGGACUGAGACACGGCCCAGACUCCUCCGGGAGGCAGCAGUGGGGAAUAUUGCACAAUGGGGGAAACCCUGAUGCAGCAACGCCGCGUGAGUGAUGAAGGCCUUCGGGUUGUAAAGCUCUUUGAUCAGGGACGAUAAUGACGGUACCUGAAGAACAAGCCACGGCUAACUACGUGCCAGCCGCCGCCGUAACAC